GCAAUAGAUAGCAGUGAUUCCUUUACUGAUAGUGCAAGUCAUCCUACACAGUAACCCUCCUCUCUCUUGUCUCCCUCACACCAGCCACUAAGGUUUUCAAAGCCCUAAUGACAGCUUCUCAGAGACUAAGUGGACUUUUGACUCAGACCAGCCUUGUGCACUUUGGACAUAGUGGUGAAAGAGACCUGAGAGUUUUGAGUUGGAGUAGAAGCCAGUGAAGAAGUACGUGGAGCAGCCCAUAGCUUCUCCAGAAGCUAGCAGAUGCUGAUGUCGUGCUCUUAGACUUCUAAAACUGCUCAAGAAGGGCCCGAGCUUCAGGAAUGCAGCCACCAGGUACAGAAAUGAUGCCACCAGAUGAGACUUCAGCUCAGAGAGAAAACCAGUCCUUCCAAGCUCAGAGACCUCUUCACUGUCAGCACAAAAGAAACCCAAGGGGAUUCAGGAUAAUUCUGGAACAAUAGCAUGCUACAGGACCAUGGAAUCGUGCCUUUUCCCACCACAGUCAACUGAAACAGGCUGCCCAAGACCCAUGGACCAGUCAGCAAGAUCCAAACCACUCAAACUGACUGAUCUUGCCAUGAGACCAAGGUACUGCCAGAGAUGAUAGCCCUGCUCUAGUCACCUCUAGAAGCUGACUAGUGUAUGCAUGGCAGAAGCCUGAGGAAAUGACAUACCUACCCAGGUCACUCUGGAAGCUGACCAGUAUAUGCAUGGCAGAAGCUUGAGUAUCGUCAUGGAGCUACAACAACCAGAUAAGUCUCUUUUCCUUUCUGUUGUAAUUCUUUUCUUGCUUCAGUCAGGAGGAAAAUCCUUAGAAGAAUGCUCCCACUGCAUUUAUACUAUGUGAUCAGGAAACAUUAUAACAAAGGCCC
rnacentral:lncRNA from 1 species